AGCGAACGCUGGCGGCAGGCCUAACACAUGCAAUUCGAACGAACUCUUCGGAGUUAGUGUCGGACGGGUGAGUAACACGUGGGAACGCGCCUUUAGGUUCGGACUAACUCAGGGAAACUUGUGCUAAUACCGCAUGUGCCCUUCGGGGCAAGAUUUAUCGCCUUUAGGGCGGCCCGCGUCUGAUUAGCUAGUUGGUGAGGUAAAGGCUCACCAAGGCGACGAUCAGUAGCUGGUCUGAGAGGAUGACCAGCCACAUUGGGACUGAGACACGGCCCAAACUCCUACGGGAGGCAGCAGUGGGGAAUCUUGCGCAAUGGGCGAAAGCCUGACGCAGCCAUGCCGCGUGAAUGAUGAAGGUCUUAGGAUUGUAAAAUUCUUUCACCGGGGACGAUAAUGACGGUACCCGGAGAAGAAGCCCCGGCUAACUUCGUGCCAGCAGCCGCGGUAAGAC
rnacentral:rRNA from 1 species